GAUGAAGAACGUAGCAAAAUGCGAUACUUGGUGUGAAUUGCAGAAUCCCGUGAACCAUCGAGUUUUUGAACGCAAGUUGCGCCCGAAGCCUUUUGGCCGAGGGCACGUCUGCCUGGGCGUCACGCAUCGCGUCGCCCCCCACAAAUUCUCCGUCAGGGGAGCUUGUGUUUCGGGGGCGGAUACUGGUCUCCCGUGCUCAUGGCGCGGUUGGCCGAAAUAGGAGUCCCUUCGAUGGACGCACGAACUAGUGGUGGUCGUAAAAACCCUCGUCUUUUGUUUCGUGCCGUUAGUCGCGAGGGAAGCUCUUCAAAAACCCCAGCGCGUCGUCUCUUGACGGCGCUUCGACCGCGACCCAGGUCAGGCGGGACUACCCGCUGAGUUUAAGCAUAUCAAUAAGCGGAGGA
rnacentral:misc_RNA from 1 species